GGGGGCGUUUUGGAUUCGACGGGGAUUGUUCGAGCAUGGACGGCGGGUCGUGGGGCUGCGCACACGUUAAUCACGCAGGUCUAAGUUUAACUGGCAAAGCUAAUCGCUUUACCUCACAAAGCAAGAUCGCUCUCGCUGCCUAAUCGCGCGAGACCGUUACAUGACGCGUUGCCUGUGCGCGCCCUGUAACGUCACCUGAGCAGGCUAGUCGAUGCCUUUGUUCGCGGGGCACCGGCGAAACCAUAGCGAACUUGCCUGUGCACCAGCGUGAUCGUCCGCGGGUGGCAGGGACUGUAGUAGACGGUCUACGCCCGUAGAUGUGCAUGUAGCGAGAUCUUCGGACGCGGGUUCGAUUCCCGUCGCCUCCACCA
rfam:Alicyclobacillus hesperidum TRH17-3-68 TRH17368ctg70, whole genome shotgun sequence.